UGAAUAAAAAAAUCCUAUUAAAUUAAAAUGGUUAUAACAUUUUAAAAAUUUAACCACAUCUAGUAAGUGGAAGUAUAAGUUUUCUGUUUAAACUUCAAGUCAACAAAUAUUUUUAACAGAGUUAAAACAAAACAAAAAAUUAAAAACAUAAUAUGUUCAUACAUUUUCCUAGUUUUCCUCAGACUUUUUCCAUUUAUUGGGAAAAUCAAAAAUGACCUUUAAAGUACCAAUCCAGUCAACACCAUUAAACAUUACUGUAAAACUAAUAAAUUCCUCACUCCACUCAGAAUCUAAAAAUAAAAAUUAAUAAAACUUAAAAGUUUCUAAGAGUUUGGCGAUUGAUGAGAAUGUAAAACAUAGGGUUAAUUGUGGUUGGAUAAAGUGGAGAGAAGUGUCAGAUGUUUUAUGUGUUAAAAUUCUAAUGAUACUUAAAUUUGAGUUCUAUAAAACUACUGAGAAUAAUGUUGCAUGACAUGAUUCAGUGCUGGGCAAUAAACAGAAAAUUAAUGUAGCAGGGAUGAGAAUGCUUAGGUGGAUGCAGGGCUAGCCUUAGGUGUAUUAGUACCUUGGGCUAUUAGAAUAUUGGAGUCUCAUAUUCCCAUCCUCAUUAUAAAUU